CUCCCUGCGCUGCAGCUCUUCUUCCAAGUGAGGAAGAACUGUGUGAUUGGAUUAAUUGCAAAGUGUUUUAAGAAUGUGAGACACUUUGGAGCCCUGAGCCAUGUAAAAAGUCCAAUUGCUGUGGGGAUGCCACAUGUGGGUAUUCUGGCUGAUUGCUGUAGCUGAGGUUCCAACCAACAGCUAGAAUCAAGCACUAGACAUGGUGGCAACAUGCUGGGCGCUGCUGAAUGAAAGCCUUAGGUGUUGAAGAGAAGGACGUGGGAACCAAGCCUCUGGGAAGCUGGCCAGGUUGUGUACGUGUGACCUCAUGUGGUCCUCCUGUCAACGUAUUUUUAAGAGGUGGAAACUGAGGAGGCUCAGGUUAAGCCACUUGCCAGAGGUCACAGCUUGGGACUUGGGUGUGUGUGACUACAGCAUUCAUGUUCUAACUGACAUCAUGCCACCUAAGGUUUUAAGUGCCUGUGUUAGAAUUUCAUAGGAAGAACCUCUCUCUCAAAAAAACAAACAA